rnacentral:lncRNA from 1 species
CCCGUUACUCUCGGGAAGGUUUCCGAGGCCGCUCCCAUCCUCACCCCACCUCCCGGCCCGGCACUGGCCUCGCCGCCGGAGCCCCACUAUGCCAGACGGUUUCGACACUUCGCAAAGACAAAGAGCCCCCGAGCAGAGCGAGGAGAGAGAGCAGGAAGGCGAGGACACAGAGGCGCCGGGGGCGAUGUGAGCCGCGGGGUGAGUGUUCCGCGCCCUCCGGGACUCCUCGGAGAGCGUCCCGCCCCCGGGAACUCCUGGAGUCUCCGCAGGCUGAGCACGGGGUCCCUCGCUGCCCGGUGCGCGGGGGCUGUGUCUGCGCGCCUCGGGGCGCUGGCAGUUCCGCUUGUGUUCUCCGAGUGCAGGGUGACUGUCCGGCCCGGACCAGGAGAGAGUGACAGUGGAGGUGGAACUGAGGACCCCGCCCCGGGAGGAAAUUCCACUUCCUUGGCUGGAAACGCCAGUGGCAGGCAGCCGGUAACUCUGAGGACUGUGCCGAGCAAAGGGACGAGUCUGCCUGGGGACCGGGGAUGGACAGCCCCUUGGCCUUCUGAGGGCCUGCCUGAGCUGUCCUGAGAGCCAAGCCAUCACUGUGUGCAGAACCUGGGGCGCAGCCAUCGCAGAGCCCCGGAGCCCCCAGCAGAUGUGCUUCCUUGUCCCUGCUCCCUGUACUGUCCUCUGGCUCCCUCCACCCACUCUGCACCAGGACACCGCUGUGCAACUUUGUCCACAGCUACCUCUGCCAGGCCCUGCUCUGACAGCAUCCUGCAUGGCCUCCCAAGUUUGGGAAUCUGCUCUUGGGCUGGAGCCCUGGAGCUAACUCUUCCACUCUUCCCUGUAACCACAGGCUUCCCAGUGGUUUCUCUGUUGCUUGAAAGUCCCAGGAUCCCCUCUGCUUGUCUCUGACCUGUGCUGGUACCUCAGAACCCACAGCCAUCAGCUUCUUCUAUGACGACAGAUGCCCAGAUGGAAGGGAGGCCUGGGCCAGCUGAAGCCCACUACAUGGUUACACCAACCACACAAGGAGGCCUGCACAUGCACAUGGUAGCUGUGGAUAGUUAGCAAGCUGUGGGUCCUCAAUCUUUCCACCUGCCCUUUUCUUGAUCUAGAGAAAUUGGCAGGCCCUGGCUGGGGAAAGAGUAGGGACAGAGUGGACACAGUUUGAAGGUCCCUGGCACCUAGAGACUAUGUUGCAGAAAGGUGUCCUUGCUGGAGAGUUUGCUAAAGUGCAGGCUUCCCAGAGCCGAGGCCCACCUUCCACUUCAAGGCAGCCCUCAUGGCAGUGGGUGUACUGCUGAGAUCCAUUUACCUGCAGAAUGCUGCUGGUGUCCGCUGCUUGUCAAGAGCUCUGUGUGGUAGACUGGAUCUGUGCCCUAGCUCCACCAUUUAUUAGUGAGUUGACAUUGAACUAGUUUUUAAUCUCUCUGUUUUAGAUUUUCAUUGGAAAAAUUAGGAUGAUGAUAAUUUGUUCAACCCUGAAGAGGUAGUGUUUUAUUAUUGUCUAC